rnacentral:lncRNA from 1 species
CUCAGAGCCCUCCCCAGUCAUCAGUGAGGCUCAAGGUCCUCGUGUUAUGAACCCAUCCCAAUUUUAGCAGCUGAAGAAAGCUAUUUCAACAGAUUUCUAGGCCUGGCCCAACUCCAAGGACAAGCUAAAAACAGUUUUUCCAAAAUCCCAGCUCUAAACUCCAAUCCCUUAACCACUAAACUCCCUGCACCUUUCAGGAAAUGCAAGUUGCAGAAUGGAGAUGGGUGUGCACACUUGCUCCUUACUAAAGGGAUACAUACAUGUUGUUUAAAAGCCUACUUUAACUGACACAUCAAUAAAUACUCUGCACUCAGAAGCACUGAUGUAUUUCCUCCCAGUGAUUUUCCCCCUAAGGGACAACAGAAUAACUAUCUCAGUCUCUCUUCGGCUUCUGAGGGGUAUGACACAUUGCCUAUUAGAACCAGGAUGGGCCAGACCAUUGGAGUGAGGCCACUUGGAAGGCAGGGAGUGAGUGCUUCCUGGAUGGAGCUCUCUCUACCUAGCAGAGGUCCCCUGCCCCACCCCCAGCCCACCACAAAGAUCCCCUAAGGACUUGCAGAGUGCCCAGGCCACAGAGAAGGGUGGCUAGAAAUGGGGGAGGUAUAAGUUUGGCUCCCCUACUCUGUAAGAGGCUUUCUGAUGAGUGUUCAAUGUUCAACAAGGAGGCUGGAAAUAAAGGAGUACAAAUGAGACAUCAUGACAAGCAGAAUCACACAGGCAGCCAGAGCCCUUGGACCUCAGCUACUGGAAACAAGUUCCUGGCCCUUCAGUGGGCCCUCAGGAGCUGUGGCCCAUCAGACCACCAACCCUCCAUCAGACCAAGGCUAGCCUCUCCCGCGGUCUUUCUGCAUGAGUGAGCAGGGCUCCCACACCCAGGUAGGCACUGAUGCUCAACACACUGAAUCCUACAGCAUCCCAGCUGGCACCUCCCCCCUUGCCCCUCCCCACAUGUCUUCUCACAGAAAGAGCAUCAGGACUCCCCAGCCUAGAGGAGCCCCAGAAAGAACUGCACACGGCACCCCUGCACCAGGGUACACGCCACUGGCUCCUCCCUGCUCCCUUGGGAAUGAAUACCUCAAUGCAGCUACCGGCUCUUUUGUUGUUGACAGGCCCCUUGUUUAUAUCAUUACUUGUAUUUCACAGGAAGCAACUAGGACAAAGGAGACGAUGACAGCAGAGGCAGGAUAG